CAAACUCUGGGAGAUGAUGAAGGACAGGGAGGCCUGGGCUGCUGAAAUCUGUUGGGUCGUAAAGAACCGGACAUAACUUGGCAACUGAACAUCACAACAACAGCGCCUUGUAACUCAUAGCCAUGAUGGCGUAUUUUACCUAACGCUGCUUAUUUCUUCUCUUUUACUUCCUUAGCACACAAACUGGUCUUAUGUUUUCAGCCAAUGGCUACUUAGAGGCAAUGGAAUACAGUGCAUUUGGAAAAGCUGGGCUAAAAACAAAGAGCUUGUUGACUUUGGGCUUCCCGAGAGUGACUGUGGAGGGUGACUCCCCUUCUGCCAUUCCAUCUCUGAACGCCUGCUGUGGGAGAGGGGCCUGGCAGCACUCUCAGUCUUGAGGUGUUUCUUUAUCUGAUUGGCAGCUGGCUAACAGGGCAGCUCUGGACAUCAGCGGCUCUACACACAGCUCUGCACACCACGGGCUGAAGGCCUGUGUCCCCCCAGAUUGACCUGCUGAAACCAAACCUCAAGGGAUGGCAUCUGGAGGCGGGCCUCUGAGAGAUGGUGAUCUUGCCGCAGGUGCUGAGGUCUCUCCAAACGCUCAGCACUCCCGCUCCUGAUGGACGUCUGACAACUUGAUAAGGAGUUGGACUCUGGUGGGGCUGCACUGGUUGGAGAGAAGCCCAGGUGUCUUCGGAUGCAGAGCAACGUACACAGAGAGGAAUCGACAGAGCGGAACUGGCGCCCGAAGGAAGGAGUGUUUGGAGUCGGUGCCGGACCAGGAGCAGCUGCCCCGGGCGGUGAGCUUGGACUGGAAAGCGGAGAGACGAGGGGGCUGUGGGCCCUUGCUCUGCCCCGUGAAAUAAUCCGCACCU